rfam:Mycoplasma crocodyli MP145, complete genome.
CUUAGUGGUUAUAGCAAAGGGGAUCCACCUGAAUCCAUUCCGAACUCAGUAGUUAAGCCCUUUAGUGUCGACGAUAGCGGAAACGUGAAAAUAGAGAGCUGCUAUUU